CGUACGGGUGCGUAACGCGUAUGCAACCUACCUCUAACAGGGGGACAACAGCGGGAAACUGCUGCUAAUACCCCGUAACGCAAGGGCACGGCAUCGUGAUAUUGCUAAAGGAGCGAUCCGGUUAGAGAUGGGCAUGCGUUCGAUUAGCUAGUUGGCGGGGUAACGGCCCACCAAGGCGACGAUCGAUAGGGGCUCUGAGAGGAGAAUCCCCCACACUGGCACUGAGAUACGGGCCAGACUCCUACGGGAGGCAGCAGUAGGGAAUAUUGGGCAAUGGAGGAAACUCUGACCCAGCCAUGCCGCGUGCAGGAAGAAGGCCCUCUGGGUUGUAAACUGCUUUUGAUAGGGAAGAAAGAGGUUAUGCGUAACCAGUUGACGGUACCUAUCGAAUAAGCACCGGCUAACUACGUGCCAGCAGCCGCGGUAAUACGUAGGGUGCAAGCGUUGUCCGGAUUUAUUGGGUUUAAAGGGUGCGUAGGCGGUGAAUUAAGUCAGUGGUGAAAGACGAUCGCUCAACGAUUGCAGUGCCAUUGAUACUGGUUCACUUGAGUAAUGCAGAGGUGGCCGGAAUUGACCGUGUAGCGGUGAAAUGCAUAGAUAUGGUCAAGAACACCGAUUGCGAAGGCAGGUCACUGGACAUUUACUGACGCUGAGGCACGAAAGUGUGGGGAUCAAACAGGAUUAGAUACCCUGGUAGUCCACACUGUAAACGAUGAUAACUCGCUGUUGGCCUUUUGGGUCAGCGGCUUAGGGAAACCGUUAAGUUAUCCACCUGGGGAGUACGCCGGCAACGGUGAAAC
rnacentral:rRNA from 1 species